UACGUAGGGUGCGAGCGUUUAAUCGGAAUUACUGGGCGUAAAGCGUGCGCAGGCGGUUUUGUAAGUCAGAUGUGAAAAUCCCCGGGCUUAACCUGGGAACUGCGUUUGAAACUACAAGGCUAGAGUGUGGCAGAGGGGGGUGGAAUUCCACGUGUAGCAGUGAAAUGCGUAGAGAUGUGGAGGAACACCGAUGGCGAAGGCAGCCCCCUGGGUUAACACUGACGCUCAGGCACGAAAGCGUGGGGAGCAAACAGG
rnacentral:rRNA from 1 species